CUUUAACUAUGGCACACAGUUACCGACCAGUACAUAUUUGUUUAGUAGAUAAAAGAUUGAACAAGUUAAUGGUGACACUGACUAGGGAGGUAGGGUGUCAAGUGAACAGGCAGUUACAAAGCGGUUGGUUAAUGCUAAAAUAUGAGAAGUACAUGGAAGCAUCCACUGAAGGCGUAACUAACCCACAGAGGGGUGGGGGAAGGGUGCUCAAAGAAGGUCGCCAGAAGGAUGCUGGGGAUAGAAAUAAGGACAAGAGAGUGUUCUAGGUAAGAGGAACAGCAUAUGCAAAGGCUUAGCGACUAGAGAGCACGAGUGCCCUCAAGAAGAGUUAAAGAAUCUGGAAGUUAUCCUGAGGACAAAUUAUCCUGAAGCCACUGGAAGAUGGUGUCCUGAGGCAGUUGUUCUAGAACUAGAGCUGUCCCGGUGCUGUGUGCAGAGGCAAGACUGCAGGAGGAUACCACUGUGGAAACCACCCUCUCCUCCCUUGGCAUGCCUGCUUUGCUGCAGUCCACGGUGAAGGAGUUCUUCUGGCCCACAAAGGCCUGGGACAGCCCAGGGCCCCGUGUCACCACCUUGCUGGCAUCCGAGGAGAACUUGGGGAUGGAGCUGUAGCUGGAGCCACGGCUUGAGGAGGAUUUGGUCACGGUCUCCACCAGAACUGUGGAUGUUUCAUGAAGGCUGUGGCCUCCAGACAGCCGGGGACCUGAGGGACAGCGUGGGGUAAACACAAGCUGGGUCAGAGGCCUGCCUUCCUGAGGCAGCAGGCCCUCAGCCAGCACCAACAGCCCUGUGGGCCACAUCCCUUCCCCGCUGCGGCACCCAGAAUUCCUAGUGAGCCCGGCCGUGCGCACAGCUAAGGCUCAUCCUGAGACCCUGGGCCUCUGAUGGCUCCAGCCCUGGCACGGUCUGGGAACUCAAGUCCCAGGGUUAAGAGUCUUGCUUUAAAAAGGAACAUAUAUCCAACUGAUCCUUCACACUGCUUCCAAAAGGAAAGCUUGCUAAAUGUUUACUGAGCUUUGUGUUUUAGGAAACCAGAAACAUACGAAGAAAGUUAAGCUAAAGCUUGGGAGCCACUGCAGGGAAAAAUUAAUCACGUGACAGACAACAGUAAAGAAGAAGGACUUGAUUUUCAAAAAUGAUUCUCCGUGGUUCCACAGAAUGGUGUGCCGUGCAAGGUCAGGCCCACUUUAUUCCUGGUACGUUGUCCGUGGAUUUUAGGUCAGACUAUGACUGAAUAUGAAUGGCUGCUGGAGUCAUCCAAGCUGGGUUGGGCUGCAGGCUGGGCUGGAGGGAUGUCCCCCACCCCGGGCACUCACCUGUGACUUUGGCCUUGAAGGGGCUGCCCACGAUGUGCUGGGGGCCACCGUACUUGAUGGCAAUGAGGUAGUUGCCAGGAGCCAUGGGAGUGUAAGUGACAACAUGGCCCUCAGGACACUCCCGACAGUCCAGCUGCACCUUGGAGGGGCCAUCGAUGGUGACAGACAAGGCCCCCGAGCCCGCAUUCAGGGUGUUGACAAUGAACUCUGAUGACACGCCUAGGGACCAGAGGUAGCAAGGUGGUAGGUUGGGCCCUAGGCUCCGAGAACAGACCUCUGCAAGGACUCAGCCCUCUGGGACAGGGCAGUACAGGACCAGAAGCUGAGUGCCCCAAUGUCGGACCCUCCUCCCUAGCCCCAGGCACUCACCAGUAGUGCCUCCCUCAAGUCCAGGACCAUAAGCUGACACCAAGCCUGGGUCCCCAGCCUGGCUCUGUUCCCCAACGCGGAUCUUGAAGGGACUGCCAGGGAUGUGGGCACCGUUGAACUUGACAUCAAUGGAGUGGACGCCGUUCUCGUGGGGGAUGAAGCGGAUGGUGUGCUUGUCUGUGGGGCGGAGGAUUGGUCAAUGCCCAGAGGCCCAGAGGAGGAAGGGUGCGGCCUAGACUGCCCUGGGGAGGCUCCCUGGAGGAGGUCACUGCUAAGCCCUGGACACAUGGACCUGCCUUCACCUCCUGCCUAUCUCUCAGGAUGGCAGAGGGGCCCCACCCCAUGGCACAUACCUGGAGGCUGGUGACAGUGAGGCGGCGAGCAUCAUCUGAGAGGGAGGCCACAGGUACCACAAAAGGGCUAUCUGGUAUGUGUUCAUCAUUGAACUUGAUGGAGACCUCAUAGUCACCUGGGGACAGAAGGCUGGUCAGGACAGGCUCCUUGGGCCAGGGCUCAGGUCUGGAGACAGACUCACACUCCCAGGGGCGUGGGGUAGAGGGAGAUGGGGUAGAGAAAGAGCAGGGGCCCAGGUGAAGCGGGAGUUCUGUAGCCCAUCUCUCUGCUCUGAUCAGCGAGCAGAAACCCAGUCGGGAAGGUCAGGCAGGCCCAGCUCCCAUCUCCAUCAUGGACACCCACCUGGUUCCUGGACAACAUAGGAGACCCCACAGGAGCCAUCUUUUCGGUCCUCAAAUGAAAUCUCCGCCUUGCUGGGACCCUCCACGGCAAUAGACAGGCCUCCAGCACCAGCUUCUCGGGUCCAAAUGCUGAAUUCAGCUGGGGACAGGGAAGCAGGGCGGAGGCAGUUCUUUAGCAUGAUUGCCCAUCCUGCCAGCUGCCCUGCCCCCACCCCCUCUCCUGGACACCUGCCCCUCACCUGGCACACCGGCCACACCUCGCUCCAGUCCUGUGCCCCCAGCCCGCACUUUGUGGGCACCACCUUCACCCAGCGGCCCCACAGUGAACUGAAAGGGACUGCCAGGUACGUGCUGGCCGCGGUACUUGACGGUGACUGUAUGGGGCCCCAUUUCCUGGGGCACAAAACGCACACUGUACGCGCUGUCUUCUCCCUCGACAAUCUCUGCGGCUUCCAUCUUGCCCGAUGGGCUGGUCACCUGUGCAGUCAUGUCCUGGGAACUGGCCUCCCCUGCAGGAGGUGGGAUGGUUAGGCUGACGCUGGGGCUGCCCCCAGCCUUGGACCUUCCCUCCCUCCCUCAGUAAGACCCCUCCCCUUCCCAGAACACCCUGGCCAGUUGCCCGUGCCCUCCCCAUCCUGUCCCAGGGGACAGAAGGCCCAGCCUCCCUGUGAGGACCCUGGCCCAGCACGGCCCUGCUUACCCUCCUGCUGCCGGGUGAUGCUGCCAAAGGAGCCCAGGCGCUCCCGGCCCAAGAAGUCCCCGAAGACCGCGGGGAAGGGGUCUCCACCAACCUGGGUGGACUCCUCUACCCGCACCUCACGCUUGGUCUCUCCGCCGCGCGUCUUGCUGAUCUCCGUGCGUUCUGUGCGGGUGUAUGUGUGGCUGCUGCGUGUGAAGGUGCGCGUCAGGCGCUCCUGGGCAGACACCAUCUGGAACCAGUUCCCUGUGGGGCACGGAGCAGUGGAGGUGAGUGUGCCGGAAGGACGGGGCCCCGUGGGGUAGGCUCUGGGCCCGCUGCCCUCCCCCGAGCCCUGCCAGGCUCUUCCUGGCUCCUACCUGGGAUCUUGAGAUUGAGGUCACAGGUGCUGCCAAUGGUGGCAAUGGAAGGUGCCUGUCUCCGCCGCGUGAUGCUUUCCUUCAUGCGACCCUCACCGGUAACCUUCACAGUGAACGGGCUUCCUGGAGGGGGAGAGGCGGGGGGAGCGGAUGGCUCAGACACCGGCCUCCCGGCCUCUCCCUGCCCAGCUGUGGCCCAAAGCUUACCAGGCACGUGCUUGUCAGCAAAUUUGAUGUUGAUGAUGUAGGUGCCAGGCUCAGUGGGGCAGUAGGUGACUUUGCAUGUGCCAUCUUCCAUGUCCUCACAGUUGAUGUCCACCUUGCUAGGGCCUUCAAUACUCAACCCCAGGCCCCCGUAACCUGGCAGGAAGCAAAGGACACGUGUCCCUCAGGCCCUGCCACCCUGCUCUUCCCGCCCCCCCCCCCCCCCACUACAGGCUCUGUCUGGACCAGGCACCCAGCAUGUAUAACCACCAAUGAAAGCUGGCUCUGUGGGAGGAGGGGUAAGCCAGACACUGAACCAGACAGUCCGGGAUGGGCAGUAUGGAAAAUUCCCCCAGGUGGGCCUCUUGGGUUCCAGUGAGUGAGGGACAGUCAGAAACUUAAGAGAGCUGAACUUUCUCUUAACAUUUAAGAGGAAUGACCCGGAACAUGUACUUUCCCUCAAAUGGACCCCAGAACGGGAAGUCCAGGGAGGAGGCGAUGACUAAGGGCUGCUGGGCAGGAAAGUUCAAGUCCUUGUUGGAAGCACCAGCCAAAACAAGGGGUUUCUGGGGCGAGAAGCACCUGCGUUGCGAGUGUCCACGAUGAACUCCGCCACCUGGAAGGUGUGUCCCUCGGACAGGCCCUUGCCCCAGACCCGCACCUUGCUGGCAUCUCCGAUCUCAGAUGGCCCCACCAGGAUCUUGAAGGGGCUGUUGGUGACAUGCUUGCCACUUUUGCGCACGCUUACCACGUGCUCCCCAACCUCCUUCGGGGUGAAGGAGAUGCCUAUGGAAAGGGGGGUGGUCAGGCACAGUGCCCAAGGCCUGGCAGAGCACCCCUUCCCAGCUCCUUUCAGGUCUUCCUCUUCCUGAGGCCCCUCCCCACAGCCCCACACUCACCAAUGUGCCUGUUGGGCAGGCGCUUCAAUAGGCAGGGCUCCUCGUUGCCUGAGGGGGCGCGGAUGCUGGCAGUCAGCAGGCUCAGGUCACUCUCCGUGAUCUUCAGUGACACAUCCGUGGAGGUGCCCACAUUGAGCUGUGAUGUCCUCAUCGAGUCAUCGCCUGGUGGGGGAGUUUGACAUGUCAGGCGGUUAGGACUCCAGGUAGCGUGUUCUCAUGGGGCUCAGGAGACCUCCUGGCAGACCCCGCUGGACUCCACAGACCUGCCCACCCAAGGGGCAGAGAGGCCGAAGGCCCAAGAGAGCCUGGUCUUCAUUCACGUGUUAGCUGCCAAAGCUUCCAGACGGGCCCCCUACCCCAGCUGCCUUGUGGAUGCCUCCGGCCCAAACGGGAUAAAUCCCUAAUCUGUGUAUUUUAAUCGCAAGUCACACAGUUUCAUGGAACCAAAACACUAGACCACUCGGCACGGAUCCCUUACUUGCUAUGUGGCUCUGAAUAAGUUGCUUAGCCUCUCUGGGCCUACCAAUCUAUCAAGGAGGUUUAUCAGUAUCCUAACUUCAUUAAGAGUUACUCCAAACACUGAGAUGAUGUAUUUCAAAGCCUGAGGGGUGGAUAUUUCUCACCUGCUACAGGGAAUGGAAUGUUCCUGAUAUUUGUACAAAAAUGCCCUCUUCCACCCAGAGGGGCCCCUACGCUAACAACCCUUGAUUACUUGAACACACUGGUCUUGCACAUCCAUCGUGUGCUGGGGGCGUAUUCUGGAGGCCUGUGUGCCUACUUCCACCUCACCUGUGAUCUUGGCCGUGAAGGGGCUUCCCGGGAUGUGCUUGUCAUCAAAGCGCACGAUGAUGCUGUAGUCUCCAGGCGCUGUGGGUAAGUAGGAUACGGUGCAGGUGCCAUCCUUGUUGUCCUUGCAGGUGAUCUCUGCCUUGGAUGGGCCCUCCACAGCCAGGGACAGGCCCCCUGUAGGGGGAGGUGGGGCUGAGAUCAGAGGUCCUGCCCUCAUCCCUGCAUCUGGCCUCCUACUCCAGCCCUCUGCCUACAGCUCCCCUCACCUUCCCCGGCAUCCUUGGUGACAAUGGUGAAGGUGGCCGGCUUGUUGACCAUGCCAUGGCUCAGGCCUGGCCCAUAAGCACUCACGUGGCGGCUAUUGAUGGCAUCCACAUAAAACUGCAGGGGGCUUCCUGAAGGAAACAGAGAAAGGGGACUGGGUCAGUAGUGAAGACGGGAGCUGCUUGAGCCCAGCACGGUCCCAAGUGCCUUCCUGUGGCUUCCCUGUCUGCUGUGGGGGUCUGUCUGAUGGAAGCCUGCCUCCCACCAAGACACCAGCCUCCCCAGGGCCUGGGGGUGUGUGCUGUGUCUGCACACAGCAGGUGCAGAGUGAAUAUUUGUCAGAAGAAGGCAGGCAAGAAUCAAGUCACUGUGGGUUCCUCUCAGCCUGGCCCCAACUUACCAGGGAUGUGGUUGCCGUCAUACUUGAUCCCCAUCUGGUGCAGGCCUUUCUCGGUGGGUGCGUACCUCACCGUGAUGGUUCCGUCCUUAUUGUCGGUGAUGUUGGGCCGGGCUGUUUUCCCAGAGGGCAUCCGUACCUCCCCUGCCAGGGAACACAGUUAUGUAGGGGACCCUGUUUAUCCUACCACAGCCCACCCUUUCCCUGCUGUCCCAGGCACCAUGAGGUAGCCUGGAGCAGUGAGAUGAAGCCCAAACUGGGACACGGAAGGCUCAAGUCUGAAUUGCAGCCCUGCCCAACUUGCUGUGUAACCCUGGGUAGCUCACUUCCCCCCUCUGGCCUGGAAGAAGUCCCCACUCUGAGCUCUCCUGCCUUGGGGCCCCCGGACAGUACCUGUGAGUUCCCCUUUCUGCACGGUGAAGGGAAUGACCAGGUUGAAGGGCCUAAGCAUGGACUCCAUUGGCUCUACAGGCACCACUGGCUCCUCUGUGGCCUGGGGCAGGGGAGAGGAACAGUCAUUGGCUGGGGAAGGCCUGGGGAGCUUGGCCUGAGUCACAAUUGAAGUCAGAGAUAGGAAAGAACAAGAUGGUUAAUGGUGAAACCAGAGUGGCAGGAGAGGUGUGUCAGCUGCAAGAGAAGAGGUGCCGUGCUCAGCUCAGGGAUGUGUCUGCCCAGCCUGACUCCCGCCUGCUCCCCAAGAUGGCCCCCAGACCAUGCCCCAACCCUGGCCACUGAGGAUCAGAAGGAAGAAAUGAAGGAGCAGGAGGAGGGUGAUGUGUGGGAGGUGGCAGUACCCAGUGUGUGGGGUAGGGGCCGGGCCGGUGCGGCUGCAGCACAUCGGGAGGCUCCUCCACGUGGGGCAUGGGGUCACACGCCUGGGAGACAAGGCACGGGAGAGCAUGGCUUGUUACCCGGUAGGUCAGUUCAUGCCAGCUUGAGUGAGAGCGGACUCAGAGAAUGGCCCAGAGAUCUGAAAUCUCAGGCUGCCCAUGAGGCAGUAUGAAUAAUUUGAGUGCUUUACCCUCUAGAGGGCUUCAUCGUCCUGCAGGGCCACCUUGGGGGUAUGUAUAGGGACAGUGGGCCUGAGGAUCAGAGAAGAACAUGGCAAGUUCCUCCAGAGAGAGCCGACCAACCACUGGAGGGGCCAGAAAACGGGCUGUGCUCAACUCCCAAGUUGGGAGGCUGUGGGAAAUCAAUGGCUUGACUCUGGAACACUCUGGGCCCAGAAUCUAUCAGGUGUGCGGACAGGUUCGUGAUUCCUUGCUGCUGCUAAGAGGGCCCAUCUCCCCAGCCAGUGUCCAGGGCCUUGGAACUUACCAGCACGUGGAAGGGGCUGUUGGGGAUGUGCUCGCCUCCAAAGCGGAUGGUGAUGACGUACUUGCCCGGCUCGGGCGCUGUAUAGUAGAUGUCAAAGGUACCAUCGUGGUUCUCAACCACAUCCACGUCGAGCUCCGCCCCAUCCGGAGUGGAUACCGUGCACGUCACCUUCCCUUUGCCUGCCGCCUUGGCAUCCACCGUGAUCACUGUCUCCUCCCCGAUCUGGAUGCGGGGUCCCAAGCAGGCACCUGCCACCCAGAAGAGCCAAGCCAGGUUGAAGGUCUGUGGGGGCUGUGCUCAGUCCCUCUCCAUUCCCAGCUGCCCCUGCCACCUCAGCCCACAGUGAGAAGAGAAGAAAAAGGGCACUCACCCAGGCCAUGGCCUCCAAUGGACACUGGAAACAGAGAAGAGUGUGAGGCCACGUAGCUGUGGGCAGGGCGUGGAUGCGGAAGGGCGAGUAGGGGAUCUCGUCGCCGCCAUACUUGAUGGUGAUGGUGUACCGGCCACUCAUGUCUGGCAGGUAGGACACAGUGUACGUGCCAUCCCCGUUGUCUCGGAUGUUGGCUUUCUUGGGCUUUCCCUCCGGGUCCUGGGGGAGAAGCAGAGGUCAGGGCCUGCCUGUACCCAAACCCUGACCGGGGAAGUGUACUACACAUGGACUCACCAGGAUCUGGACGGUGAGCAAACCCUCACCGGCAUCCCGGGCAUCGAUGGUGAACUCCACGGGCAGGCUGGCAGGGAUGCCAGAGGCGUUGAGGCCGGGGCCGCUGGCCCGCACCUUGCUGGCAUCAUGGGCAGGAAGCACCUUGAUCUUGAAAGGGCUUGAGGGACAGAAAGGAUGGACAGUUGGCCGGGGGUCUGGGGGGAGAACUCUGGGGCGGGGAGGAGGGGGCAGACCACAUCCUGAGUUUUGUGGGAGGAUUACUCGAGGGUACCCGUGACAGACCCUAAGAAUUCCUGCAUUCCCAGUGAAGAUGCUGUGGUCGGUUUAAAGAAGAGGGUGCAGGAGGCCACCUUCUCCCAAGGCACUCAUUUUGUAGCUACGUGGUGGGAAAGCCCGGCCCAAGGAGAGCCCCUGGGGCUGUGCUGCCUGUGUGGUGACAGGCAGGGAGCCCCAAGGAAGAGCAGCGGGGGUGGCUGAGCCGGAGACCGGAUGAGGCCAAAACGGUGGGGAGAGGGCACCCCCAGGGCCCUGCCAGUGGCCACAGGUGUGGCCCCAGUGGGAGCACCCCAGCGCUCAGCCACAGCAUGGGAGCCCAAGAGUGCUUCUCACCUGCGUGGUACCUCCUGGUCGGCAUACUUGACGGCUACCGUGUAGGGCCCAUCGGUGGCUGGGGUGUAGUGGACGGUGUGGGUGCCAUCUCCCUUGUCACGCACCUCUACAGGCUCGGCUACACCUGAGCAAGGGGGGAGGGUCAGCAAAGCCUCCUGGUGCCCCGCCCCGCCUCCUUCCACCCUGCCCCAGACAUUCGGUACCUGUGGGGCCCAGCACGGCCACUUGCAGUGGGGCCCGGCCGGCUUGGCUGCAGUCCACCGUGAAGGUCUGGGGUACCCGGGCCCUGACACCGGCCCCCAGCCCCGGCCCUGAGCACUUCACCUUCCCAGGGUCCACCACAUCCUUCACCGGCACCCGGAACGGGCUCCCUGCAAGGAGAAGGACAUCAGCCCCUACCCACCUGCCCAGAAAGGUCUCUGACGCCGAGGAGGCAGGGGAGAGGUCUUCCCUGCCUUCCCUGCCUCUGAAAUACCCUCAGAGAGGCCAGACCAACAUGUACAAAUGCUUAGGAACUUGCUCAUAAACGGGGACAAAUAAACUUGGCUGCAGACUAAGGUGGGGCAAACCUUAUUAUGUGCUGGGCCACAGGCCUGGAAGAAGACCUUCUUAAAUUAAUAAAAUGCUAAAAAUGGAUUAUUUUUAAAAUAAAAUGCACUUUUGACCACGAAGUUAGAAAAGUUACGGUGGAAAAAAAAAAAUGUCCAAUUUCAGCAUGCCUAAGCUCUGCAAUAACAGAAGACAUGACCUGCCCAAGCAGCUCAGCCCUGUUCUUUGCAGACAGCGCGAGAAGGCACGAGAGAGAGGCUCUCCUCUGCUGGCGAGAGUGGCCUGGACUGUGCCUGAGUGACUGAACCCGUGAGGUCUGGCGCUCCAGGCAAAGGGCCGGGACGCCAGCCCUGGGCCUGUGGGAAUGAACCGACGGGUUGUCCCAUCAGCGACAAUCACUGCCCUGCCUCUUGGCCACGGCCUCAGCAGCCACGCGUUGUCACUGAUGCCUUCCCUGCACAACCCUCCCCCGCCACCCACUCUCUCUGCACACCUGGGAUGGGCCGCCCCCCAAAGGUGAUGUUGACGUCGUAGUCUCCAGCGGUGAAAGGGAUGUACUCCACGGUACAGCUACCAUCUUUGUUGUCCUUGCAGGACAUCUUGGCUUCUGAGGGGCCCUCGAUGGCUAGGCCGAGGCCUCCGGUGCCAGCUCCCCUGCAAGGCAACACCCUUCUCAGCUCUGCUAGGAACGGACCUCCACCAGAUGCACACCUGGAAGCCAGCCACACAGGGCGAUCAGGGCAUGCGCAGCCCCUAGCGACCCAUCCGCACUGAGAGUCAUCGGUUCCCCACCGUCCCCGCUCGGCCCAGGUCCUCACCCUCUUCAUAGGCUGUGUACU